rnacentral:rRNA from 1 species
CCUACGGGUGGCAGCAGUGGGGAAUAUUGGGCAAUGGACGCAAGUCUGACCCAGCAACGCCGCGUGAAGGAAGAAGGCUUUCGGGUUGUAAACUUCUUUUAAGGGGGAAGAGCAGAAGACGGUACCCCUUGAAUAAGCCACGGCUAACUACGUGCCAGCAGCCGCGGUAAUACGUAGGGGGCAAGCGUUGUUCGGAAUGACUGGGCGUAAAGGGUGUGUAGGUGGUUUGAUAAGUUAGAUGUGUAAUACCCAGGGCUUAACUCGGGUGCUGCAUCUAAAACUGUUAGACUUGAGUACUGGAGAGGAUAGUGGAAUUCCUAGUGUAGCGGUGGAAUGCGUAGAUAUUAGGAGGAACAUCAGUGGCGAAGGCGACUAUCUGGACAGCAACUGACACUGAGGCACGAAAGCGUGGGGAGCAAACAGGAUUAGAUACCCGUGUAGUC